rnacentral:rRNA from 1 species
UACGUAGGGUGCAAGCGUUAAUCGGAAUUACUGGGCGUAAAGCGUGCGCAGGCGGUUUUAUAAGUCAGCUGUGAAAUCCCCGGGCUUAACCUGGGAAUUGCAGUUGAGACUGUAAGGCUAGAGUGUGUCAGAGGGGGGUAGAAUUCCACGUGUAGCAGUGAAAUGCGUAGAGAUGUGGAGGAACACCGAUGGCGAAGGCAGCCCCCUGGGAUAACACUGACGCUCAUGCACGAAAGCGUGGGGAGCAAACAGG